rnacentral:lncRNA from 1 species
UGGUUGUAAGUACUUUUAAGAAUGAAUUCAAAUCAUAAAAGAGUUGUGAAUUCUUUUCUAUCAAAGGUGCAAAUCAAGUCAAAGCACUUUUAGAUGAAUUGUGCCUAUGAAUUUAACUUGAAUAAAUCCAUGACAAUAUUAGAAGAGAUGCAACCUUAAAUAAAGCUUAACUUCUUACAAAAAUCUUCAAAAUUUUGAUCUUGUUCCAUCAAACUUCUUAGGCAUAUUAAUUCUUGUCAGUGUUGUACUUGUAGAAGCAAAA